rnacentral:rRNA from 1 species
CCACGGGCGGCUGCAGUGAGGAAUAUUGGUCAAUGGGCGCAAGCCUGAACCAGCCAUCCCGCGUGAAGGAUGACUGCCCUAUGGGUUGUAAACUUCUUUUGUACAGGAAUAACCUAGGCCACGUGUGGCUUACUGCAUGUACUGUACGAAUAAGCAUCGGCUAACUCCGGGCCAGCAGCCGCGGUAAUACGGAGGAUGCAAGCGUUAUCCGGAUUUAUUGGGUUUAAAGGGUACGUAGGCGGACUUAUAAGUCAGUGGUGAAAUGCUGCGGCUCAACCGUAGAAUUGCCGUUGAUACUGUAGGUCUUGAAUUUUGUUGAGGUAGGCGGAAUAUGUAAUGUAGCGGUGAAAUGCUUAGAUAUUACAUAGAACACCGAUUGCGAAGGCAGCUUACUAAGCAAACAUUGACGCUGAGGUACGAAAGCGUGGGUAGCGAACAGGAUUAGAUACCCGGGUAGUC